AGUGAACGCUGGCGGUAGGCCUAACACAUGCAAGUCGAACGGCAGCACAGUAAGAGCUUGCUCUUACGGGUGGCGAGUGGCGGACGGGUGAGGAAUACAUCGGAAUCUACUUUUUCGUGGGGGAUAACGUAGGGAAACUUACGCUAAUACCGCAUACGACCUACGGGUGAAAGCAGGGGAUCUUCGGACCUUGCGCGAUUGAAUGAGCCGAUGUCGGAUUAGCUAGUUGGCGGGGUAAAGGCCCACCAAGGCGACGAUCCGUAGCUGGUCUGAGAGGAUGAUCAGCCACACUGGAACUGAGACACGGUCCAGACUCCUACGGGAGGCAGCAGUGGGGAAUAUUCGACAAUGGGCGCAAGCCUGAUCCAGCCAUACCGCGUGGGUGAAGAAGGCCUUCGGGUUGUAAAGCCCUUUUGUUGGGAAAGAAAAGCAGCAGGUUAAUACCCCGCUGUUCUGACGGUACCCAAUGAAUAAGCACCGGCUAACUUCGUG
rnacentral:rRNA from 1 species